CAGCCACCGACGCAUCUCACGGCGGGGUUCAUAUUGCGUGCGCGUAUGGAUGCUCCUUUCGCCGCCUUUCCAGCAACUAGUUUGUGUUAUGAUGCAUCGUUGGUCCGGCGUACGACGGCGCCUGAUGCGAUUUAUGCGUCCGGAAGCCCUUUCAGCCUCCAGGCAUGUCCCCACCUGCCUCACAGCCACCGACGCAUCUCACGGCGGGGUUCCAAUUGUGUGCGCGUAUGGAUGCUCCUUUCCCCGCCGCCUUUCUAGCAACUAGUUGAUGUUAUGAUGCAUCGUUGGUCCGGUGUACGAUGGCGCCUGAUGCGAUUUAUGCGUCUGAAAGCCCUUUCAGCCUCCAGGCAUGUCCCCACCUGCCUCACAGCCACCGACGCAUCUCACGGCGGGGGUCUAAUUGCGUGCGCGUAUGGAUGCUCCUUUCCCCGCCGCCUUUCUAGCAACUAGUUGAUGUUAUGAUGCAUCGUUGGUCCGGCGUACGACGGCGCCUGAUGCGAUUUGUGCGUCCGGAAGCCCUUUCAGCCUCCAGGCACGUCCCCACCUGCCUCACAGCCACCGACGCAUCUCACGGCGGGGUUCCAAUUGUGUGCGCAUAUGGAUGCUCCUUUCCCCGCCGCCUUUCUAGCAACUAGUGGAUGUUAUGAUGCAUCGUUGGUCCGGUGUACGAUGGCGCCUGAUGCGAUUUAUGCGUCCGGAAGCCCUUUCAGCCUCCAGGCAUGUCCCCACCUGCCUCACAGCCACCGACGCAUCUCACGGCGGGGUUCAUAUUGCGUGCGCGUAUGGAUGCUCCUUUCGCCGCCUUUCCAGCAACUAGUUGAUGUUAUGAUGCAUCGUUGGUCCGGCGUAACGACGGCGCCUGAUGCGAUUUAUGCGUCCGGAAGCCCUUUCAGCCUCCAGGCACGUCCCCACCUGCCUCACAGCCAUCUCACGGCGGGGUUCCAAUUGUGUCGCGUAUGGAUGCUCCUUUCCCCGCCGCCUUUCUAGCAACUAGUUGAUGUUAUGAUGCAUCGUUGGUCCAGUGUACGACGGCGCCUGAUGCGAUUUAUGCGUCCGGAAGCCCUUUCAGCCUCCAGGCAUGUCCCCACCUGCCUCACAGCCACCGACGCAUCUCACGGCGGGGUUCCAAUUGUGUGCGCGUAUGGAUACUCCUUUCCUGCCGCCUUUCUAGCAACUAGUUGAUGUUAUGAUGCAUCGUUGGUCCGGUGUACGACGGUGCCUGAUGCGAUUUAUGCGUCCGGAAGCCCUUUCAGCCUCCAGGCAUGUCCCCACCUGCCUCACAGCCACCGACGCAUCUCACGGCGGGGGUCUAAUUGCGUGCGCGUAUGGAUGCUCCUUUCGCCGCCUUUCCAGCAACUAGUUGAUGUUAUGAUGCAUCGUUGGUCCGGUGUACGAUGGCGCCUGAUGCGAUUUAUGCGUCCGGAAGCCCUNUCAGCCUCCAGGCAUGUCCCCACCUGCCUCACAGCCACCGACGCAUCUCACGGCGGGGUUCCAAUUGUGUGCGCGUAUGGAUGCUCCUUUCCCCGCCGCCUUUCUAGUAACUAGUUGAUGUUAUGAUGCAUCGUUGGUCCGGUGUACGAUGGCGCCUGAUGCGAUUUAUGCGUCCGGAAGCCCUUUCAGCCUCCAGGCAUGUCCCCACCUGCCUCACAGCCACCGACGCAUCUCACGGCGGGGUUCCAAUUGCGUGCGCGUAUGGAUGCUCCUUUCCCCGCCGCCUUUCUAGCAACUAGUUGAUGUUAUGAUGCAUCGUUCUUCCGGUGUACGACGGCGCCUGAUGCGAUUUAUGCGUCCGGAAGCCCUUUCAGCCUCCAGGCACGUCCCCACCUGCCUCACAGCGACCGAGGCAUCUCACGGCGGGGGUCUAAUUGCGUGCGCGUAUGGAUGCUCCUUUCCCCGCCGCCUUUCUAGCAACUAGUUGAUGAUAUGAUGCAUCGUUGGUCCGGCGUACGACGGCGCCUGAUGCGAUUUAUGCGUCCGGAAGCCCUUUCAGCCUCCAGGCAUGUCCCCACCUGCCUCACAGCCACCGACGCAUCUCACGGCGGGGUUCAAAUUGCGUGCGCGUAUGGAUACUCCUUUCCUGGCGGCUUUCUA
rnacentral:lncRNA from 1 species